GGACUAUUUCAAUUUCCUCAAGAAAAACAGUAUUUGGGAGACCAAAUAAUAAAGUAAUUUUCAAAUUGAAGAGCAACUGGGCAGGAUCAUGUGUGGUAAGAUCCACCAUGCACAAAGCACACUUUGAGUAUAUUUUAUUUUAUAUUGCAUAUUCUAUCACCAGAACAUGUAAGAAACAAUAAUGACUACAUUUAUAUGUUUCAUAAGUGUUUUAAUGUUUUUGAUUGGUUGAAAUUUUGGUUCCUAUCUCUUUUGAUAGAAAAAUUAUUUGAAGUGUUCAGUGGUAUGUGACACUUGUUUUCUGGUACUCACAAGGCAUACAUGAGAAUUCCUUUGCUGUAUAAACAGUGUACUCUCUCACACAAAAGUUAAUGCAGUCUUAUCAGUAAUAACUCUAGGAGCUCAGGAGAAAUUACCUAUUUGCUCAGGUAAUCUGCCCUUCUGGAACAUUAGUCAAUGAUAUCAGACAAUGUAAAAUUCUGUUUUUAAAAUCCCCAAAUGGUUUCUUGAAAUUCUCUUUCUUCUUUAUGCAGCUCAGCAAACAGAACAUCUAGGAUUGAUGACAGACAUUUCCAACAUUCUUCUUAUAUUUCCAUGAACACAAGUCUGAUUUUCCUGGUUUUCAUGACAAUGAUCAGAAGAAUUAACCCAUAACAGAGAAGGAACACACGGUAAUAUUGGCUGAGACCCUAAUGAAGACAAUAACCCAUUCUUCAGGCUGUUUUUCUCACAUAUAUGAUAUCUGGAGAGACACAGCUUCCACUCCAGGGGCAUCAUUAAAAACUAGAUCCUCAAGGCACAUUCAGUUCCUCUUGGUUCAAUUCUCCUUUCUGCCACCAUGUGAAGAAGAACGUGUUUGCUUCCUCUUCCGCCAUGAUUGAACCUCCAUUUGGGACUUCCACCAAAUAUGGCUGAAUAGGAACAGCUCUGGUCUUCAGUUCUCAGCCAGAAUGAGCCAGAAGGUGAGUGAUUUCUGCAUAUCAAACUGAGGUACCAGGUUCAUCUCAUUGGGACUGGUUAGACAGUGGGUGCAGACCAAGGAGGGCAAAUGAAACUGUGCUCCUGGUGCUUCACCCCAGAAGCACAAGGAGCCAGAGAACUCUCUCCUAGCCAAAGGAAGCCAUUAGGGACUUUUCCAGACACUCUGGCUCAAAUACUGUGCUUUCCUCAUG
rnacentral:lncRNA from 13 species